rnacentral:rRNA from 1 species
AUUGAACGCUGGCGGCAGGCCUAACACAUGCAAGUCGAGCGGAUGACGGGAGCUUGCUCCUUGAUUCAGCGGCGGACGGGCGAGUAAUGCCUAGGAAUCUGCCUGGUAGUGGGGGACAACGUUUCGAAAGGAACGCUAAUACCGCAUACGUCCUACGGGAGAAAGCAGGGGACCUUCGGGCCUUGCGCUAUCAGAUGAGCCUAGGUCGGAUUAGCUAGUAGGUGAGGUAAUGGCUCACCUAGGCGACGAUCCGUAACUGGUCUGAGAGGAUGAUCAGUCACACUGGAACUGAGACACGGUCCAGACUCCUACGGGAGGCAGCAGUGGGGAAUAUUGGACAAUGGGCGAAAGCCUGAUCCAGCCAUGCCGCGUGUGUGAAGAAGGUCUUCGGAUUGUAAAGCACUUUAAGUUGGGAGGAAGGGUUGUACGUUAAUACCGUGCAAUUUUGACGUUACCGACAGAAUAAGCACCGGCUAACCCUGUGCCAGCCGCCGCCGUAA